AUGAUUGACACAAAUUGCCCAAUUAUGAGCUGGAACACACGAGGGCUCAACUCGUCGGCCCGGCGAGCAGUAGUGAACGAGACGGCAGAGGCACACAAGCUCGCUCUUCUCUGUCUCCAAGAGACAAAGAUCGACAAUUGGAGCAGAUCACUAGUUAGGGAGGUGGGUAGAGCCAGACUAGCAGACUGCGUCGUCCUCCCGGCCACGUGCACUAGGGGAGGCGUGGCGAUCUUCUGGGACAGGAGCCGCAUAGAGGUGCAAUCCCACGCCAUUGGCCGUUUCUCCAUCACAGCCAAGAUCACUCUCGCAUCAACAACAACAUCAUUCUGGAUGACGAUGGUGUACGAGCCAGUCAACGAUGGGAGGAAAGAUGAGUUCCUGACCGAGCUAGCAUGA
rnacentral:rRNA from 1 species